CAUCCAAUACCAUAACCUUUACUAGUAUCUAUUUUUUACCUGUUGUAAUUUAUGAAAGGGAUAAUUCUGAUUCGGAGGAUUAACCAGAAAGUUUAAACGGAUUAAGGAAAAUUCAAGCGGGUUCGAGACAAAUAUAGUUUGAAUUAUCGGUUUAUAAAAUAUGUUUAUCUAGUUGGUUUAUUUGAUUUUUAAAAUAGAGUUUGAGUUGGGUUAGGAUUAGGAUUAGCAUUAGCAUGAGUAUUAAGUAUAGUAUAAAAGAGUCGAACGAGUUUGUUAAUAUGGCGUGCUUUUGUGUUUUGAUCAAGGGCCCGAUUUCCGAAAAUUUGUAAUGAAGGAACCCCAAUUUCAUUUGAUCAUUCAUUAUGAAUUAAUGAUAAAUGUAUGUGAAUUUGCGUGUUGACUUGUUUCUGUAUAUCUUCACUUGUUUUUUGACUGAUGUUGUGUUUGUGUAGAUUAGAAAAUGGGGCUAAAGAAAAAGAGUGUCAAACUUCUAACAAGACUGAUUUCAUUAGCAAAGACUGGUUUCUUUUAUGUUAAGAGAAAGAAUCUGAGGAUGAAGGCGAACAAGCUUGAAAUAAAAAAAAUAUGAUUCUCGUGUUCUUUUCACCGAAGCCAAGAUAAAAUGACAACAGAGAUAAAUCUUUAUGAUGGAACUUUGCUGUUAAAGAAGUCAUAUGAUUAUGCUGCUAGUAUCUGUUCUAAUCCGAAACUAUUUUUGUAAUUUUGUUGUCCGGUUUUCAUGACAAUAUAUUAAAAAACAUAAUAAUUUUUUUUUAUCAAAACAAACCGCAAAUCACUAUUAAAUUGUUUGCAAAUUCACAAAAAUCAAUCCUGCAGCAAAGUAUAACACCAAAAAGGAAAAGA